rnacentral:lncRNA from 1 species
UAGUAUGUGGGCAGGUGGUUAGAUUGUUGCGGCACAUUUUUUAAUCAAUGGUGAGAUGGAUCACGAGUAGGUAAAAAGUAUAUGGAUAGGUAGAGUUGUAUGAAUAAAAUAUAGGUGGAUGUGAUAUGAAGAACGAGAUAUUGUUAGUCUGUUGGAACGCACGGAAAUAUAGAACAGAUAGCCAAAUGGAAAAUAUAAGAAAAUGGAAUUCGGCUAGCCUGCAAGCAGGCCAUAUGUGUUCUACCCAUAGAUUAUGUUUAGGAAGAACGUGUGCUAAAUUACUAAAAUUAGCGUAGCAUCAUAAUACGUGCAUGCCCAUGCAGCCAUGCGUAUUCAGUGUAUGGGAUCGAGGUGUGGCAUGUGGGUUGGGUCUGACCUCGAGAUCUAGCUUGAUGAUAUGCGUGCGUGCUGCACAUGCGCUCGGUCAAAUGGUACCAGCUGCAAUUUAUCAGGAGAGCUGUGGGGACGCGUGCAUGUCGGCCCCGGUGGCGGUUGGGAUCGAGACAUACCUAAACAGUUGGGCUUGAUUGACUGGACCGGGCUGAUUCUGACCCGUCUGGGCCAGAAUACAUACAAAUUCACCCUGAUCGGUUAGGCCCAUACAGGGGUCGCACUCACAAACCCGCCAGUAUUCCUCCUCGUUGUCGUCGGCGAGUUCAUCAUGC